UUGCUUAUGGGAAGAAUGCGUCCCUUAUAUGCAAAUUAUCCAUCUGCUUCACUUUGUCAGCUCUGUUUUCUUAUAUUUUGCUGAUCAUUUUAGGAUGGAAAAGUA
rfam:Medicago truncatula strain A17 chromosome 8, whole genome shotgun sequence.